UCCCCGUUACCGGGGCAGUCUAGCUAGAAAAAUCCAACUAGCUAUAAGGGUUGCGCUCGUUGAUGGACUUAACCAAACAUCUCACGACACGAGCUGACGACGGCCAUGCAAGAUCUGUCACCGAGUUCAAUAAAGCACUCUCGUCUUUCGACAAAAUUCUCGGGAUGUCAAGCCCUGGUAAGGUUCUUCGCGUUGCUUCGAAUUAAAGAACACGCUCCACCACUUGUGCGGCUCCCCGUCAAUUCCUUUAUGUUUUAGUCUUGCGACCGUACUCCACAGGCGGGAUACUUAACGCGUUAGCUUCGCUACGGAGGGGGUCGAUACCCCCCACAGCUAGUAUCCAUCGUUUACGGCGUGGACUAC
rnacentral:misc_RNA from 1 species